CCUACGGGAGGCAGCAGUGAGGAAUAUUGGUCAAUGGUCGUAAGCCUGAACCAGCCAAGUCGCGUGAGGGAUGAAGGCCCUAUGGAUUGUAAACUUCUUUUAUACGGGAAUAAAGUGCGGGACGUGUCCUAUUUUGUAUGUACCUCAUGAAUAAGGACCGGCUAAUUCCGUGCCAGCAGCCGCGGUAAUACGGAGGAUCCGAGCGUUAUCCGGAUUUAUUGGGUUUAAAGGGAGCGUAGGCGGCCUGUUAAGCCGGCGGUGAAAUUCCGUGGCUCAACCAUGGAACUGCGGUGGAAACUGGGGGGCUUGAGUGUGUGGAAGGGAGGCGGAAUGCGUGGUGUAGCGGUGAAAUGCUUAGAUAUCACGAAGAACCCCGAUUGCGAAGGCAGCAUACGGAAGCGUGACUGACGCUGAUGCACGAAGGCGUGGGGAUCGAACAGGAUUAGAUACCCGGGUAGUC
rnacentral:rRNA from 1 species